rnacentral:tRNA from 1 species
GGAUGUAGCUCAGUCGGUAGAGCACCGGUCUCCAAAACCGGGUGUCGGGAGUUCGAGCCUCUCCAUCC